rnacentral:rRNA from 1 species
UGCGUAGGCGGCAUUGUAAGCAUCUUGUGAAAUCCCCCGGCUCAACCGGGGAAUUGCUUGAUGAACUGCUUUGCUUGAGGCAAGUAGGGGUGCAUGGAACUCUUGGUUGAGCGGUGAAAUGCGUAGACAUCAAGAGGAACGCCGGUGGUGAAGACGGUGCACUGGGCUUGCCCUGACGCUGAGGCACGAAAGCGUGGGGAGCGAACAGGAUUAGAUACCCUGGUAGUCC